UUCCUACGGGAGGCAGCAGUGGGGAAUUUUGGACAAUGGGCGCAAGCCUGAUCCAGCCAUGCCGCGUGUCUGAAGAAGGCCUUCGGGUUGUAAAGUUCUUUCGGUAUUGAGGAAGGUUGAUGUGUUAAUAGUACAUCAAAUUGACGUUAAAUACAGAAGAAGCACCGGCUAACUCCGUGCCAGCAGCCGCGGUAAUGGAA
rnacentral:rRNA from 1 species